rnacentral:lncRNA from 10 species
AUAUUUUACAGCUCUUUUCCCCUAUGUGGUCCUACUCAUCUUGUUAGUAAGAGGUGCAACUUGGGAGAGUGCUUCAGUAGGCAUUUCAUACUAUAUUGGAGCACACAUUUUACAAAACUUAAGGAAGCUGAGCUGUCUGCAAGCUUGAGGAGCAAGGAGAGCCAGUCCGAGUCUCAAAACUGAAAAACUUGGAGUCCAGUGUUCGAGGGCAGAAAGCAUCCAGCACGGGGGAAAGAGAAGUGAUCAAAACAACGAUUCAAGAUUUACUUCCCAAAGUGAUGAAGAAAAUGAUGGUUUCCAUAACUUUGGGCUGCUGCUUGGUUUUGUUUCUCCUUGGUCUUGUCUGUGUGACUCAGACUGGAAUUUACUGGAUUCAUCUGAUUGACCAUUUCUGUGCUGGAUGGGGCAUUUUAAUUGCAGCUGUGCUGGAGCUAGUUGGAAUCAUCUGGAUUUAUGGAGGGAACAGAUUCAUUGAGGAUAUAGAAA